CGCGGGGUGGAGCAAUGGCAGCUUACUUGGCUCAUAACCAAGAGAUUCACGUUCGAAUCGUGGCCCCGCCACCA
rnacentral:tRNA from 1 species